rnacentral:ribozyme from 14 species
UAGGAGUAGAAGAGAGAGGGGAGAAUACGGAAAAACAUGAUGUUUGUAUGUUUUCUGUCUUCUUCGUUCUUC